UGGCGAACGGGUGAGUAACACGUGGGUAACCUGCCCAUCAGAAGGGGAUAACACUUGGAAACAGGUGCUAAUACCGUAUAACAAUCGAAACCGCAUGGUUUUGAUUUGAAAGGCGCUUUCGGGUGUCACUGAUGGAUGGACCCGCGGUGCAUUAGCUAGUUGGUGAGGUAACGGCUCACCAAGGCCACGAUGCAUAGCCGACCUGAGAGGGUGAUCGGCCACAUUGGGACUGAGACACGGCCCAAACUCCUACGG
rnacentral:rRNA from 1 species